CAGUACAGAAAACGACGCGCGACGAGGACGCCAAGGUUGCGUAGGAUCUGCGCAUUCAACACGCUGGAAAUAAUUUGCGGUGACGUAGCGUCCCCAUGAGUGACAGAAAACUGAGCCAAUCAUGGCACAACUAGAGAACUUUACCAACCCCUACGCGCUGUAUUUUCCGCUGGCUGCCCCACUACCACAGAAAACACUGAGCUAGGCUCAAACACCUGCAUUUUGGAGCUGCCUCAUUGAAGAAAGCAAAAAAGAGACCAUGUUGGUGGAGCUCAAAAUAGGUGGGGCUCUGUCCCACCUGCCCUGAAUGACGGGGCGCCACUGGCCAAUAUACAGGAGAGCAGGGUUAUCUUCAAUAUUCCAAUAUGGCACACAGUAGGAAAACAUUUAGCAACAGACAAUGAAAAUAUGUGUUCAGGUAAUACCUCCCCGUUUUAGAACGUUCAUCUAUAUUGAACACAACCCUGGGCAUUGAGUAUUGGAGUGUCUGACUGACGACUGGACCAGAGGGGUGACGACCACAGCACUUCCUAGGGCUAAAUGAUUCCUUUAGUCCAGAACAGUCAUCCCACGCUAGUGAAUAUUAUCAUCAGGCCCCUGUCUCUGGGAAGUAACGCCUAAUGAGUCCAUUUUAAUAUGGAAUCUGACCAUGGCAAUGAUCUCAUUAAACUCCCACAGUGUGACUGGCUGAUUGGCUGCCUGCCUCCUCCACAAGCCAUUUCCUCUGGUUAGAAAUGGAAAAGCAGCAUGGCAGCUGAUUAACCACAUGGUGUACUAGGCCUAAGUCCCAUUUGCCUUGUGUGAUAAAAGAAAAUAACAGGGUUUCAUCCCUUUCUCAAUCCUGCCUGAUCUGUGAGGCUGGAGACUGGGAAGUGCAGGUAACAACAUAGGGGGUGGGAAAAGAGAGUAAUAUCUUCGGGUCAGGCUGGGUUGUAAUAAAGGUAGGGGUCAGACCUAGUGGAGGCUCUUUAAUGCUGGUGUGGAUUACCUUGACAUGCUCAGAGCAUACCACUGACCAGGCUGAUAGAGUGAGUAUGUGUGUGAGGGGGGAAGGGUAGUGAGGACUGUGUGUUCUUGCUCUCUCUCACUGUCUUUCUCUCUCUCUUUCAAUCUUUCUCUCACUUUCUAAUCUACAGCUAUCUCCCUAGGGUCCCAAGUCAGGAGGACAGCCACAUGUAUCCACACAUGUUAUCUCAUCAACAUCAGAACAACCAAAACCCAGCUAAUAGUCAUGGCAGUGUGUGCGUGUGUGUGAAGGGUGUGUGUGUGGGUGUUUGGGGCUGUUCUCCUCCACCCACUGUGACUUUUAUCUCAUUUGAUUAUUCUGAGAGGAUGACAUUCGACCAGGGGGUUUAUACAUGGUGCAGUGUGUUUAUACAGUGUGUGACACUCAUGUUGGAGUGUCACACACACACACACACACACACACACACACACACAGCCAAACCCAGGCCCCGUCUCCCACUCUCCCAUCCAUUGGCUAAUUACAUUUAGCCUUCUGCUCCACGGUGACUGUUGGAACAGCUGGGCUUGGUGGUUCCUGGAGAACAGAUAACACAAAUCAUGAAUCAAACUACUGUUGCUGCCAUGGAGAGAGAAGCAGCGAGGGUGGGGAGCGAUGAGAGGGAGAGGAGUGGGGAGAGAGAGAGAGGACAAGGACACAGUGAUAAUAUUUAAAGCCUCAUCCCCCACACAUCUCAUUCAUAUCUAUAUCACAGGCUGAAAAGAGGGGGAUGGAAAGGCCAGCAUAUGACUGUUUCAUUUCCCUGGCCCAACAGAACAACGUGAUGCAGCUGGUUGGGUGUCUUCCUGGCCCAACAGAACAACGUGAUGCAGCUGGUUGGGUGUCUUCCUGGCCCAACAGAACAACGUGAUGCAGCUGGUUGGGUGUCUUCCUGGCCCAACAGAACAACGUGAUGCAGCUGGUUGGGUGUCUUCCUGGCCCAACAGAACAACGAGAUGCAACUGGUUGGGUGUCUUCAUGGCCCAACAGAACAACGUGAUGCAGCUGGUUGGGUGUCUUCCUGGCCCAACAGAACAACGUGAUGCAGCUGGUUGGGUGUCUUCCUGGCCCAACAGAACAACGUGAUGCAGCUGGUUGGGUGUCUUCCUGGCCCAACAGAACAACGUGAUGCAGCUGGUUGGGUGUCUUCCUGGCCCAAUAGAACAAAAUGAUGCAGCUGGUUGGGUGUCUUCCUGGCCCAACAUAACAACGUGAUGCAGCUGGUUGGGUGUCUUCCUGGCCCAACAGAACAAUGUGAUGCAGCUGGUUGGGUGUCUUCAUGGCCCAACAGAACAACGUGAUGCAGCUGGUUGGGUGUCUUCCUGGCCCAACAGAACAACGAGAUGCAGCUGGUUGGGUGUCUUCCUGGCCCAACAGAACAACGUGAUGCAGCUGGUUGGGUGUCUUCCUGGCCCAACAGAACAACGUGAUGCAGCUGGUUGGGUGUCUUCCUGGCCCAACAGAACAACGUGAUGCAGCUGGUUGGGUGUCUUCCUGGCCCAACAGAACAACGUGAUGCAGCUGGUUGGGUGUCUUCCUGGCCCAACAGAACAACGUGAUGCAGCUGGUUGGGUGUCUUCCUGGCCCAACAGAACAACGUGAUGCAGCUGGUUGGGUGUCUUCCUGGCCCAACAGAACAACGUGAUGCAGCUGGUUGGGUGUCUUCCUGGCCCAACAGAACAACAUGAUACAGCUGGUGAGGGGAAAGGAAAAGAGAGGGACAAAAACAUAUUCAUGCUGAAAAACAAAUCCCAUAAAAUCUUCUAGGAUGUUACUUUGUGUGAGGUCUUCCUAACCUAUAUAUUCCUCUAUGACCUUGGCAGUACAGUAUAAUGGUGCAUACACAAGCUGCAGGUUUCACAUAUUGUAUUAUACUAUCCCAAUGUAUCCUUUAUGUCAUUCCCUGUUGAACUUACAUAGUGUAAAUCCAGUUGGUUCUACUCUAUAUCUACUGGUCGGUUGAUGUAUCUUCCUGAUAUAUGCCAUUUAACAGAGACAUUUAUACAAAGCAACGUACAAAUCAAAUUGUACUUGUACGAGCCCCUAACCAACAAUGCAGAGUUUUAAAAAAGUAAGAAAAUGUUGCUAAACUAAAGGAAAAAUAGUAACACAUUAAAGAACAAUAACGAGGCGAUAUACAAGGGCUACCGGUACUGAGUCAGUGUGCAGGGUAUGGGUUAGUCCAGGUAAUUGAGGUAAUAUGUACAUGUAGGUAGGGGUAGUGACUAUGCAUAGAUAAUAAACA